rnacentral:rRNA from 1 species
AGUGAACGCUGGCGGUAGGCCUAACACAUGCAAGUCGAACGGCAGCACAGUAAGAGCUUGCUCUUACGGGUGGCGAGUGGCGGACGGGUGAGGAAUACAUCGGAAUCUACUUUUUCGUGGGGGAUAACGUGGGGAAACUUACGCUAAUACCGCAUACGACCUACGGGUGAAAGCAGGGGAUCUUCGGACCUCGCGCGAUUGAAUGCGCCGAUGUCGGAUUAGCUAGUUGGCGGGGUAAAGGCCCACCAAGGCGACGAUCCGUAGCUGGUCUGAGAGGAUGAUCAGCCACACUGGAACUGAGACACGGUCCAGACUCCUACGGGAGGCAGCAGUGGGGAAUAUUGGACAAUGGGCGCAAGCCUGAUCCAGCCAUACCGCGUGGGUGAAGAAGGCCUUCGGGUUGUAAAGCCCUUUUGUUGGGAAAGAAAAGCAGCAGGUUAAUACCCCGCUGUUCUGACGGUACCCAAAGAAUAAGCACCGGCUAACUUCGUG